GUCCACACGGUAAACGAUGAAUGCUAGGUGUAGGAGGUAUCGACCCCUUCUGUGCCGCAGUUAACACAAUAAGCAUUCCGCCUGGGGAGUACGGUCGCAAGAUUAAAAACUCAAAGGAAUUGACGGGGGGCCCGCACAAGCAGCGGAGCAUGUGGUUUAAUUCGACGCAACGCGAAGAACCUUACCAGGUCUUGACAUCCAGUUAAAGCUGUUGAAAGAUAGUGUCCCUUCGGGGGAACUGAGACAGGUGGUGCAUGGUUGUCGU
rnacentral:rRNA from 1 species